rnacentral:rRNA from 1 species
GAAGCUUUCUUUGACUGAAGGGGCGGACGGGUGAGUAACGCGUGGGUAACCUGCCUCAUACAGGGGGAUAACAGUUAGAAAUGACUGCUAAUACCGCAUAAGCGCACGGUUUCGCAUGGAACAGUGUGAAAAACUCCGGUGGUAUGGGAUGGACCCGCGUCUGAUUAGCUGGUUGGCGGGGUAACGGCCCACCAAGGCGACGAUCAGUAGCCGGCCUGAGAGGGUGAACGGCCACAUUGGGACUGAGACACGGCCCAAACUCCUACGGGAGGCAGCAGUAGGGAAUUUUCGGCAAUGGGGGGAACCCUGACCGAGCAACGCCGCGUGAGGGAGGAAGUAUUUCGGUAUGUAAACCUCUGUUAUAAAGGAAGAACGGUGCAUGUAGGGAAUGACAUGCAAGUGACGGUACUUUAUGAGGAAGCCACGGCUAACUACGUGCCAGCAGCCGCGGUAAUACGUAGGUGGCGAGCGUUAUCCGGAAUUAUUGGGCGUAAAGAGGGAGCAGGCGGCAGCUAAGGUCUGCGGUGAAAGCCCGAAGCUAAACUUCGGUAAGCCGUGGAAACCGAGCAGCUAGAGUGCAGUAGAGGAUCGUGGAAUUCCAUGUGUAGCGGUGAAAUGCGUAGAUAUAUGGAGGAACACCAGUGGCGAAGGCGACGAUCUGGGCUGCAACUGACGCUCAGUCCCGAAAGCGUGGGGAGCAAAUAGGAUUAGAUACCCUAGUAGUCCACGCCGUAAACGAUGAGUACUAAGUGUUGGGGGUCAAACCUCAGUGCUGCAGUUAACGCAAUAAGUACUCCGCCUGAGUAGUACGUUCGCAAGAAUGAAACUCAAAGGAAUUGACGGGGGCCCGCACAAGCGGUGGAGCAUGUGGUUUAAUUCGAAGCAACGCGAAGAACCUUACCAGGUCUUGACAUCGAUCUAAAGGAUCCAGAGAUGGAUAGAUAGUUAUAGAGAAGACAGGUGGUGCAUGGUUGUCGUCAGCUCGUGUCGUGAGAUGUUGGGUUAAGUCCCGCAACGAGCGCAACCCUUGUCGUUAGUUACCAGCAGUAAGAUGGGGACUCUAGCGAGACUGCCUCUGCAAGGAGGAGGAAGGCGGGGAUGACGUCAAAUCAUCAUGCCCCUUAUGGCCUGGGCUACACACGUGCUACAAUGGCGUAAACAGAGGGAGGCAGCCCCGCGAGGGUGAGCAAACCCCAAAAAUAACGUCCCAGUUCGGAUUGCAGUCUGCAACUCGACUGCAUGAAGCUGGAAUCGCUAGUAAUCGCGGAUCAGAAUGCCGCGGUGAAUACGUUCCCGGGUCUUGCACUCACCGCCCGUCA